rfam:Schistosoma curassoni strain Dakar, Senegal genome assembly, scaffold: SCTD_contig0008074
AGCUUUUCAAAUCCGUGCUGAGAUUUCGUCAGACACCAACUCAUUAGAGCUUAUCAGACUUCCAAGGUAAGUGAAGUU